AGAACAACAAAGAGUGGCUUCUAUACCUAGUAUCUUCUUGGAUUCAAGCACGAGAGCUUUGGUCUCAAGAUGAAGAACCAGAAUAGUCCAAGUAAUUGAGGACUUUCAACCUGAAUAUAUGGAAUCAGCUUUAAUGUGUACUGUAUGUGGCCAGUCUGGACACCACAACUUCAGACUUAGAGUGGAAUCCUGAAAACAUUACUCGUUUGCUGGAGCAACAAGAGAUGUCAUCUAUGAAUGAAGUUUCUGGAGUUUGUUGGAACCAAGCUCGAGACAUAAGGUCAGAUAUUCCAGAAGCUGAUGAAAGAUCCCAAC